ACUUAAUAUUCAGGGUUAUACAUCCUAUAGAAAGGACAGGCAGGUGGGCAGAGGAGGGGGGGUAGCUCUGCUGGUGAGGUGAUGGAAUUCGGUCCCUUGCGAGUGAAGACAUAGGGACUGACGACGUAGUGUCACUGUGGAUUGAGUUGAGGAAUUGUAAAGGCAAGAAGACACUAAUUGGUGGUACACAAAAAGCUGGAGUAACUCAGUGGG